rnacentral:lncRNA from 1 species
GAAUACUUUGCAAAAGGUUUCAAAGAAUUCAAGAAAUGUAAGUUGAUGAGUAAGAUGUCUAAAGUAUUUACCUCUUUAGAUUUGAUCCAAGGGAAGGUAACACUUUAGAAUAGUUUCCUUGAAAGAUAUCAAGGAAAGAAGCAUCAUAUGAUAAUGGAUUUCUCCAUUAAGAGAAGAACGAACUCGAAUAAGAUUUAGUUCGUUGGAUGUUAUCAAUUACCCAUAUAUAGGAUAUAUACUUCUAAAACAAUACGAUUGUCAAUUAGAAGAUCUACAAAAAUUUUCAUGACUCCAUAGGAUGUAGUUGGAAAGAAAGACAAAUCUUAAUCAUGUUAAGAUUUGGGGUUGUGUGCUAAUAAGCAAUAUUUGUUUAAAAUUAUCUUGUUGGUAUCCUUAUAUUAACAUUUGGAUAUCACUUCUAUAAACCAACUAACAAAUGUUGUUUGUUGGGUAGUUCAUUGUAAUCCUACACUAGGAUUUGCCUAAGAUAGAGCAAACGAGGGAUAUAACUCAAAGAAUGGGUUCUUUGAGAAACAAGAUAGUGAUCAACAAAUAUAAUAACCUAGUUCCUAUACCACAAGCUCCAAGGUAGUCGAGAAGGAUUUAUAAACUGUCUCAGUUGAAUAGUUUGAACUUAUGACUAUGUCAUAGAGUUACACCUCUUAAUUCGAAAGAAAUAAGAAUGAAAAUCCUUAUGACUACAUUAAGUGUAUAUACGAUAUAUACUCAAGGAAAUGGUAAAGUACCAUUUGACCCGAAAUAAUGAAACCUCCAUAGCUAAUUAGUAGCUUAAGGUGACUACAAUUAAAGAGAUUGGUUGACUUGGAAGAAACCAUCUUUGACGUAGUCUUGGUUUCAAUUAAUUCGAAGAUUGCUAGCUACAACUAAAUGGUGAUUCAAUGUUUGCACAUAAUAUGGGUUUCCGAAACCAUUAUUAAGAUAGUCUUGAUAAUAUAUGUCUAAAACUAUGAAUCACAAGACAUUUAAGUUGUAGAGAUCCAACCACCAUGGAUCUUAGCAAGCUAGUGGGAGUUAUAAACGUCUUAUGAGAGAAAGAUCAAAUCGUUUGAUUUCUCAUAAAGAUGUAAAUGAAUCUUUUGUUUACUAGGUUUACAAAAGAUUAGUGGGAGUUAAUCAUGUUCCUAAAUUUGAAUAUAUAUAUAUAUACAAAUAUAUGAUAUAUUAAUUUUGGAAAUGAAAAAGAAUACUUCUUCGUUAAAGUUAUGACUUUAAACAUUCUAUAACGAUAGAAUGUAUAUGGGAGACAUAGUCUAUAAACAUGGGAUGUAAAUCUAUAAUAAUAGAUUUCAGGAUAUAAUUGGAUUAUAUCAAGCCCUAAUGAUAGACAAAAGAUGCUAGGAAGUUUCUCAUAUGAUGAUAAACUUCAAUCAGAAGAACAACUCUAGUAAGACUAGGAGGUAGCUCUUCUCAAAGGGAACGUACCCUUUGACUCCCAAAGAAAUAAUGCGUAAAUAGAAUCCUUUAUGCAUACGUAGAAAAGGUGAUUUAUGUAUUUCAUAUUGUAUGAAAACAUUGAUACGAGUUUUACCUAGAAAGGUACAAGACGAUACCAGUGCAAGCCCAGGAUCAGAACCAUGGCAACUGUCAAGUGAGUCCUUGAGUAUUUAAGAAAUACUAAAGGAUAGAUUCCUCAAAGAAUGAGGAAGAAUUAGAGUAACGAAAUGGAAGCGUAAAUGUAUUAGAUUAUGAAUCUAAUCCAUCAUUGGAUGUUUCUUCAUUAUGAAUGAAGAGAUAAUCAGAUAUCUCUUUACUAUGACUAAAAGAGAUAUUUGGAUGGAAACAUUAAAAGUAAUGACUUUAGUGUGUUCCAUUGUGAAUGCAAAAUAUAUUGCCAUAUAGAAGCUUACAACAAUGUUGUUUGGAUGGGAAAGUUCAUUUAUGAACUCUCUAUUCGGUUCCAACCAGAAAGUGUCUCUAGUGUACCGACACUACGACACUAAUGGGGCGAUAGCUCAAGCCAGGGAAUCAAGGUCUCAUCACGAUCCGAACUCAAAUGAGAGACUGAACCACAUGAUUGAGAAUCAUGUAUAAUGGUGACAUCGUUAUUCUCAAGGUUUCUUCUAUAGAUAACAUAUAGAUAUCCACUGUCUAGGCCUACUACUCAGCCAUUUUUGAAAUGACUAUAGAAGAGGUAUCAUCACUGAUAACCAAGCUGAUUGGCUCUAGUGCAAGU